rnacentral:rRNA from 1 species
GCGAAAGCGACGUUCAACCUCAAAAGAAGCAGAGGGGGCUUAGUGGUGGGGUGACUGCGUACCUUUUGUAUAAUGGGUCAGCGACUUAUAUUCUGUAGCAAGGUUAACCGCAUAGGGGAGCCGGAGGGAAACCGAGUCUUAAUUGGGCGUUAAGUUGCAGGGUAUAGACCCGAAACCCGGUGAUCUAGCCAUGGGCAGGUUGAAGGUUGGGUAACACUAACUGGAGGACCGAACCGACUAAUGUUGAAAAAUUAGCGGAUGACCUGUGGCUGGGGGUGAAAGGCCAAUCAAACCGGGAGAUAGCUGGUUCUCCCCGAAAGCUAUUUAGGUAGCGCCUCGUGAAUUCAUCUCCGGGGGUAGAGCACUGUUUCGGCUAGGGGGCCAUCCCGGCUUACCAACCCGAUGCAAACUGCGAAUACCGGAGAAUGUUAUCACGGGAGACACACGGCGGGUGCUAACGUCCGUCGUGAAGAGGGAAACAACCCAGACCGCCAGCUAAGGUCCCAAAGUCAUGGUUAAGUGGGAAACGAUGUGGGAAGGCCCAGACAGCCAGGAUGUUGGCUUAGAAGCAGCCAUCAUUUAAAGAAAGCGUAAUAGCUCACUGGUCGAGUCGGCCUGCGCGGAAGAUGUAACGGGGCUAAACCAU